rnacentral:rRNA from 1 species
UGAUCCAGCCAUUCCGCGUGAGUGAAGAAGGCCUUCGGGUUGUAAAGCUCUUUCAGCAGGAACGAAACGGUGGUCCCUAAUACGGGCUACUAAUGACGGUACCUGAAGAAGAAGCACCGGCUAACUACGUGCCAGCAGCCGCGGUAAUA